UUUGGCUUGUCUUGUAGCCCAACAAAUUUGGAUAGAAAGGAAUCUUUUUGAGAAAAUAUCUUAGGGCCAUUUUGGACCAUUUGUUUUAUAAAUAAUACAUCUUCUUCUCCAUCUUUUUUCAAGAGAGAUUUUUCUGAGAAAAACUCCUUCUAGUGAGAGAAAGCUUUUCAUGCAUUACUCCAUCUUUUAAUCACUAUAUUUCUGAGCUUCAUUCGUUGGUGUUUCUUAAACUCAAAUACCUAUUAGCUUAUAUGUUUUUGAGGGUUUUUAUACACCGAAAAGAACAAACUGUUGUUGAAAGGUUUUAUAAACGCUUAGGUGAUAAGUUUACUGGUUGUAGAGUUUCUGGAUCUUGGGAAAACCAGGGGAGGGAAAUCAGGCUGAAAAGGGUAGUUUUUAGUGCUGUAUUUUCAAGGAUUUUGUUUCUAGCCAGGAAUAGAAACUGAUAGUGGAAUACUCAAGGUGGGGAUAUCUUGGGGAGUGGAUGUAAGCGGGUGAUGAACCACUAUAAAUCUCUGUGUCAUUUAUUUUCCAGCACUUUACUUAUUCUGCCGAUUAGCUUAUACUAUGUUAGUAUUAACUUCACAUUUUUGGAAUACGUUAAAGUAAUUUUCGUUAGUGUAUUUUUUGAAAAGCUCAAUUCACCCCCCCCCCCCCCCUCUUGAGCAGCCUUGCAGGACCAACAAAUAUGUUAAUAUAGUGUUAUUCAUAUGAUAAUCAGACACUGUUUUUUUAGUAAAAAAUCAAUUUUCUCUGCAGUGUUAUGAUACGUACAUGAUAAUGCAGUGAUGAUACUCAUAUGAUAAUCAGAAGCUGUUUUUUUUUUUUGCAGAAAAUCGUUUUUAAUACAGAUUUUUAGAUUUAGAAUUGGGAAAAUUCAAGAGUAAUUUAUUUAGAUAUGAAAGUUAAAAAAAUCGUAUUAAUCACCACGAGUUGAGGAAAAUCGCUAAAAUCAAAUAUGAAAAACGGCAGAGCGACGACGGGAUGAUGGCGGAAUGACGACGGAGCGAUGAAUUAACGAUGAAGAAGAAGAGAAUAAAAAUGAAGAAGAAAUAAAGCAAAAGAAGAAGAAAAAAAUGAAGAAAAAAUGGUGGGAAAAAGAACAGAGAAGAAGAAAACUAAUGGAGAAGAAAAAAAAAAGAGAGAAAAAAAGGAAAAAAGUGACAGUUGUCACUUAUGAAUCACUAAUAAUAUAGUUAGAGUAAAAUAAUAAUAAUGAAUAGGUAUAAUUAUAAUAUAAAUAGGUGUUAGAGUAAAAAAGUAAAUAUAUUAAAAUAGUGAGAUAUUUUCUCAAUCUUUUUUCUGUUCAGGUAGGAAAUCAUAUUAUUUUCAAAAAGAGAGUAUUUUUUAUAAUUUUCUCCUUAUUUGAUGCAUAGUAGAAAGGGAAUGAAAUUCGGGUUUUUUACACAAAUCCCCUAAAAGUGCUAUGGUGUUUCACUUUUCCCUCACCAUUUUGAUUUUGGCAAAAAUCUCCCCAAAAAAAAUAAAAGUUUUCAAGAAUCCCUCAUAAACUAAAAUAGACUGAAUAAUAGAGAAAGCUGGACAAUAAUGUCCUUAUAGAAGAAACACGUGAACAACAAACAACAAUUUCUUUUCAAAUCAACUACCACAAAAUUCUCUCAUCUUCAACCUACUAACAUUGCCGCCAUUGAUGAACAUUUUUCGUCCUUCACCUGAGCUUUUUCGCCAUUGAAAGUGAGCUUUUCAUUCAUUGACAGUGAGCUUUUUCGCCAUUGACAGUGUACUUUUCAGCCAUUGAAAAUGAGCUUUUCCUUCCUUCAACUAUAAAAGAAUUAUUACAAUAGAGAUAAUCAAUUACUCAAGAACAGACGUUACGAAUACGGCAAUUCGGUUUGCUCGACCUUACAGCAAUUCGCGAAGGUACGAUUGGUGUCCAUUGAAGAGAAGCUUUUUGCAAGUAAUCUAAAUUUUGCAACGAGACUAAAGACGGAGACCCGAUGGUUGAGUUACUCAAUGGUGUUCAUACUAAAGAUGGAAACCCGGUGUUCCAAAGUAAUGAGAAAGAAGUGACUCUUUAAGAAGAUCUAGAGGUUUAUCUAAUCAUUGCAAACCCGAAUAGAAGCAACAAGAAGAUCAAUCAAUCAAUGGGAUAGAUCCUAUUUAGCUUUGUCGAAAUUGUAUCAUUUAUAGAUGGAAGUUAAAAUUGUAAGAAAUG